AGGAUCGGCCCGCGUCUGAUUAGCUUGUUGGUGAGGUAACGGCUCACCAAGGCGACGAUCAGUAGCUGGUCUGAGAGGAUGAUCAGCCACACUGGGACUGAGACACGGCCCAGACUCCUACGGGAGGCAGCAGUGGGGAAUCUUGCGCAAUGGGCGAAAGCCUGACGCAGCGACACCGCGUGAGGGACGAAGGCCCUCGGGUUGUAAACCUCUUUCGGCAGGGACGAAGCGAUCGUGACGGUACCUGCAGAAGAAGCUCCGGCUAACUACGUGCCAGCAGCCGCGGUAAGACGUAGGGAGCGAGCGUUGUCCGGAUUCAUUGGGCGUAAAGAGCGCGCAGGCGGUUCGGAAAGUCGGAUGUGAAAACCCGGGAGCUCAACUCCGGGCGUGCAUCCGAUACUCCCGGGACUAGAGGUAGGUAGGGGAGAUCGGAAUUCACUGUUGUAGCGGUGGAAUGCGCAGAUAUCAGGAGGAACACCGGUGGCGAAGGCGGAUCUCUGGGCCUUACCUGACGCUCAGGCGCGAAAGCUAGGGGAGCGAACAGGAUUAGAUACCCUGGUAGUCCUAGCUGUAAACGUUGGGUGCUAGGUGUGGGCGGAUAUCGACCCCGUCCGUGCCGAAGCUAACGCAUUAAGCACCCCGCCUGGGGAGUACGGCCGCAAGGCUAAAACUCAAAGGAAUUGACGGGGCCCCGCACAAGCGGCGGAGCAUGUUGCUUAAUUCGAUGCAACGCGAAGAACCUUACCUGGGCUUGACAUGCAGGGUGAAACCCGUGAAAGCGGGCGCUCUUCGGAGCCUGCACAGGUGGUGCAUGGCUGUCGUCAGCUCGUGCCGUGAGGUGUUGCCUUAAGUGGCGCAACGAGCGCAACCCCUGUCCCUAGUUGCCAGCGGAUCAUGCCGGGAACUCUAGGGAGACUGCCGGUGCCAAACCGGAGGAAGGUGGGGACGAAGUCAAGUCAUCAUGCCCCUUAUGUCCAGGGCUGCAAACAUGCUACAAUGCUCGGUACAAAGGGCUGCGAUCCCGCAAGGGGGAGCGAAUCCCAGAAAGCCGGGCUCAGUUCGGAUCGGGGUCUGCAACUCGACCCCGUGAAGUUGGAGUCGCUAGUAAUCGCAGAUCAGCACUGCUGCGGUGAAUACGUUCCCGGGGCUUGUACACACCGCCCGUCACACCACGAAAGUGGGCAACACCCGAAGCCGGUGGCCUAACCCUUGUGGAGGGAGCCGUCGAAGGUGGGGCUCGCGAUUGGGGU
rnacentral:rRNA from 1 species